UUCUGGAGCCAGCGCGGCGGCACCCGGGGCUUCGGAACACGUGGGGACACGCGCCGGAGACCGGAGAGUCGGCACGGGUUUUCAUCUGCCCACUCCUGUGAGCUUAUUGAGGACAAGAAUUGUGUCUCAUAUCCUGUCACUUUUCUCACUGAACAGAAGAUAAGACAAUAGUAAAAUCCCAUCCAGUCUUCAGAGGCCCCUGCUCCUCUGCUGUCCUGUAGCACAGCUGGCUCCUCUCCCAUCAACAGUGAGGAUCACUUGCAGAACAACUGCUUUAACUGGGAAAACGCAACCCAUUCCAAAAAUCCUAUAAGACAAUAUGCUGCUAGGGACAUUUUUUCUGUUGUCAAAUGGUUUGCAGAGGCAAGAGCUCUCUUCUGUGUGAGUCCAAACCUGAAGGUGCUGCACAGUAAGGAAACACAGUAAGCACCACUCAAAAACAACCCAGCCUCAUGGAGAUAAACCAGGAAGAAACCCCGAAGGCCAGACUCCUCUACCAGGAAGUCUGCUUGGCAGCUCAGCGACUCGAUUUCUUCCUUCAAAAAGGAAAUGCCCACAAAGAAGUGUUCAAGCCACACAUCCUGGCUCUCAGAGAGAUGGUUCAGCAAGCCUGCAUCAGACUCAUGUUCCUCCAUCCGGUGGUUUAUGGUAGGAAGGCUGAAGAGCUCUUAUGGAGGAAAAUAUACUCUGAUGUUGUCAUGCUGCUCAUGAAGACCAAUAAGAAACAAAUGGACACUUUCGAGCACUGGGGAGGGCCCCUACAGGCUCACCUGAAGGCUGGCCUCAGGUUCUAUGAGCAUCUCUUCCUGUUCCUUCAGGGUCACUAUGAGCUGAGGUUGCAGAGUUACAUAGACUGGCCUCACAGCGCUAUCCACUUGAUUGGCUGUAAGAAAGUGGGACCCACAUCAGCAGAAGAGGCUUCCUGGGCCCGCAUGGCCUGUCAUCGCUGCCUGCUCUACCUGGGGGACUUGUUUCGCUAUCAGCACGAAUUCCUAGACCUGGCCACCAAGAACUUGGCAGAGAGAUGCUAUUAUAGAGCCUUGUCAGUGGCCCCGCAUAUGGGAAUGCCCUUCAACCAACUGGGCGCUCUCGUGGGGAGUAAGUAUUAUGACCUCGAAGCCACCUACUUCUAUCAACGCUGUCUCCACUCUGAAGUGCCUUUUAAAGGAGCAGCUUGGAACCUCAAACGGCUCUAUGAUCACGCCGGAAAGAGGUACAGUUGUCUGAAGAGGUACCAGGGAAGGAAACUGACUCAUAGCCAGAGGCAGUGUUGGGACAACAGAAGGCUGCUGGUUAGCUUCCUCUACCUGCAGAGUCUCUUGCAGCCUAAGAGGAAAUUCAAAGCCGCAAGGCUGAUAGCCCUGUGCCAACUGGUUCUCGAAGACUUUCGUCUCUGUCUUUCCUAUCGGCCCUGUCAAUCAGGCCUAUGCCAGGCUUCCCCAGAAGAGAAACCUCCUAAAGGGUAUCUGUUUCUCCCGGACUUCCUCAUCUUCCACAUGGUGGCUCUUUGCCUCAUGAAUGUGCACAGCCUGAGGAAAUCAGGCUCAAAACAGCAAAAACCAGCUGUCAUCUUCACCUUGACUCUUUUCUCUCACCUAGUACAACAUGUGAACACACGGAUCCAGGCUGAGCUGCAGAGGAGGAAGCUGAAUCCAGAAGAGGCUUCUUCUGGCCAUGGAUGCUGGGAGAAAGAGCCUGGGAAGCAACAUCAAGAUUUUCUGUCUCCUGGGCUCCAGAACAGCAACUCUCAGAAAGGCCACAGGUGGUCUGGUAUUUCUAGGGAGAGCGAGGCUGGUUUUCAUUCUGAUUACGACUCAGAUGAGACAGAGGAAGAGGAAAACUCAUCCUUAAGUUCCCAGGUCCAAUCAGACACAAGCAGUGAAGCAUCCCUCUCAGACACAGCAGACGAAGAAGGAAGUGGCUCCUUGAGUUCAGAUGCAAUACAGAAAAGCGGAGGUACGUCCAAACCUAAAGCUGCUCAUUCCAGAAACAAACUGAAGUCGUACAUACCUCCCGACAGUCUCCUUGGUCUCUUGAAAACAACUCUAUCCUCUAGCCUGCCAGCACCUUUGAGCCAAAAACUCCAAGGAAAACAUGGCUUGCCCUUGGCUUCUGUCUUUAGUCAUAACGUUCUGACACCCCAGUCUGAGCCAAGCCCUGCUGUCAGCCUUUCUUUGUGCACGGAGGGUGAGAUGAACAGCUUUCCUGAUGCGGAGUUCUACAUGGAUUCCUCCUGGGAGCAGAAGCCCUCCACUUCCCAGAACAACAAUCUCCAGACAACUCAAUGGAAACUGGACAUUCUUUCUGCAGAGGGACUGCUGCCUACCAUCAAGGUGAUCCUGAGCUGGCUCCGCAGCAAUCACAGCAUCCUCUUGUCACAUUGGAGGAGUGUGUUUAGCUUGUGGGACCACCUCUGUGUGUUGCUGAACCUGUUGCCCUCAGUGGGAGACCUUCAGCAUCCAGGCCUUGGCCUGUCUCACCAUCUCCAGGAGUUGCUACAGAGCUGUCGACGGCCACACACUCCCAAGUACCUUCAGCUCCCCGAGGACAUUGCCAUGUUCCAGCAGCCUCCUUCUCAAGUGUCUCAGGAUAGGGUAGGCUUAGGGCAGGAUCCACCUCCACUCACUAACCAGGAGGAAGUUAUCGUCCGUAUCUGUUUCUUCAGAAAUUUUGGUCACUUUGCAACUAGACUCCCCGGACAGUUCUUGAGCUUUGAUUCCAAGCUGGGUGUCUUUGUGAGCAGUACCCUUGAAAGGUCAGAAGAUCCACCUCAGCAGCUUCCACGAACAGCUGCACGAAUCAGGUUUUCCAAAGACAUAGUCCAGCUUUGGCUUCAGAGGGAAGUGGCACUGCUAGAGAAGACCCUCCGAGGCCCCCAGACUCGGUCAGUGUUGACCCCUUACCUCUUCCCUGACCCCAGGGCCCUCUGUGAGCAUCUUUCAGUGAUACAGAAACUAGCCACUAGUGCUAAGUUUUUUCUUAUCAUACCCAAGGUUGUGGUUGACACAUUGUACAUCCUAAAAUGGGAGGAUCGCAGAGCCUUGGCUGCCAUCACUUUCCUAGAAGAUGAGUUAAAGAGAAGGAACCAGUACAUUCUCUGCCAGUCCUUUGUGUCCAAGAGGUUGGUGAGGCCCAGGAUGACUAGACAAGACUCUGAUGCCUGGGACCUCUACAAUAUUCUUGAAUUCUGCAAAAGCCUGCUGGACUCUUCCAGGCCAGGGAUAUUGGAUCCCAGCAGCAUGGUGACUAUCAUUACUGGUGUCUGUUUGGAUCAUCCUAGGAAUUUCUCAUACCCACUGCAGUUGGUACUGGGGAUGGCAACGGAAGCUGGUGUGGAAAUCAAGAACAUCCUGAACUUCCACAGAGAAUGGAAAGUGAUCAGUUGACAUGUUCACAUCUUCCUGCCCCUUGUCCUUCAGUGCUUAUUGCACAAAUUAAGUGUGUUUCUUUGUCAUAAGCACCUAAUGCUGAGAUGUUUUUUGAACCCUACAUUGUGGCUUCUGUAUCCAGGGCUCUGUUGGAAAUUCCCUCAUUACCAAGGUAAGUUCCAUGCAGAGCAGUUGAUGAAUUUAAAUUCUUUAUAUGAAUGGGGACAAAGUGCAAGAGUGAGUGCUUGAUUCUCAUUCAUGAGAGCCCAUGUUUAAUUCUCAGUAAAAAUUUUCCCAUCCAUUAGCCUGGACACUCUUCAAAGGAAGAAGAAUCAAGCUUGUUAUUUUUGUUCCUCUAAAAUUUCCCCCAGUUUCUCAUGCUCAUCAGUGUUUGUUUGAUAGAUGUUUCACACACAAUUCAACAUCUUGCCCCAAGAAACACAGCUUUAGAACUCAGAAAUCCACUGAAUUUCAAAAGAGGAAGCUUUUGAAUCAUUCAGAGAGUACAUGCAGUUUCAGAGAGUUCAGUCCAUGGUUGCUUUAUCCCUGGUUCUUGAACAGAAAAUCAUUGUAGUGGGAGUUUGUGACACCUCCCAGGGGAAUGGGAAGUCAUGACAUGAAUUUUCUGAAAAAGGCAGAGUUGUUCAAUGCAUGGAAAAUUGUCAUCAGAUAAAGCUUCUGCUUCAAAGGUCAUGGAAGGUGACCUUCCAUGAGACAACUGUUUUCUAAUGUUCUUCUUACUCUAGAGUGUAAGAAGAAAUCAUAUUUGUAUAGAUGAGUAAAGGGAAGUCAGUGCAAAAUCCUGCAGCUACUCAGUGACUUAACUCAUACUCCAUUCUAGAUAUAUAUAGCUGUCAAUCUGUCAUAAGCAGGUCUCAAUCAUGUGUCAGCACCAAAAGCUUAUGAUAGUCAACGAUGUCUUAUGAUGUCUCUGUGAAUGUCAGGGAUAGCUGAGAGAUCAACUUGAGGAGAACAGGGAACAGCUGCCUUUUUGCCCUAUCCUAUUGUUCUACCUUUAUCUACUGUCUCAGGGUAUGCAGAAUCAUUGGAACCAUGACAGUAGAUUUCAUCUGUGCCUUGAGAUGAUAUUAACCUAAGAAGAAAUUGUUUUAGGUGU